AGGAGGGGCAGGGGCCGGGCAGCUGAGCCUGGGAGGGGCCGGCAGCCUCAAGAGGAGAGAAGGGCCCUAUCCACUGCCCUUGCUUUUGUGGAGAAAGGCCAUUCCCAACCAAGUGCUCUCUCACAGCCCUGCAAGUCUCUAAAAAGGAAACUAGGGACAUUCUGGAAGAUACUCAAAGAAACCUUUUAUCUUUCUCUUUGCUCUUCACUCACUCUUUUGUCCUCUCUCCUCUUCACGGACAGGGGAGGGACCAUCUGAUGAGACCGAGAAAAACAAAGGCCAAGGUGGAAACUCUAUUCCAGCUUCCUGACCUGUGACUGAGUGGGGUUUGAGUGGGCCCAGAAUACGCCGGAACCAAGAAGAGCUAUCUUUUACUCUUCUUCACAUAUUGGAGAAGGAUGAAACAGUAUUUCAUCUUGGCCCUGGGGAGGUUUGAAGCCUAGACACAAAGCGGAACAGAGGGAAAGAAAGACACCAGCUCCCAUGCAGAAGUCCCCUCCCUUGGGCCAACCACAUGAAACUGAGAGAUGGGUCUAGAUAAGUAGGACCCGGCUGGGUCCUUUUUCUGCAGAGUCCCCAGGUGAACAAUCAAAUAGAGCUAAAAAUUUUUCUGCCUUGGGCCGAAAUGGAGAAAAUGAAACCUUGAGGAGCUUGCUUUUAACCAUGGCAGUAGCUACACCCCUGUUUCCUCUGCAAGAACCUAAGUUUAUGAGGCUCACUUUAGAAGUUCUGACUUUGGAGUCAGGUAGAUAGGACAUAAUCCCAGCUCACCCUCUAACUAGCAGGGUAACCUUGGGCAGAGCGCAUGGCCCAUCAGAGUUUUAGUUUUAUCAUCUAUAAAAUGGGUUAUUGGGGCCAGGCCAGUGGUGCAGCGGUUAAAAUUUGCACGUUCCGCUUCAGCGGCCAGGGGUUCACCAGUUUGGAUCCCUGGUGCGGACAUGGCACCUCUUGGCAAGCCAUGCUGUGGUAGGCGUCCCACAUAUAAAGUAGAAGAAAAUGGGCACGGAUGUUAGCUCAGGGCCAAUCUUCCUCAGCAAAAAGAGGAGGAUUGGCAGCAGUUAGUUCAGGGCUAAUCUUCCUCAAAAAUAAAUAAAUAAAUAUAAAUAAAUAAAUAAAAUGGGUUAUUGCAGGAAACAACCUAA
rnacentral:lncRNA from 1 species